GGCGCGCCGCCGCAGCGUGGCCGGCCGGAGUCGCGCUCGGCACCCGGGUCUCCCUCCUGGUGCGGGAAGCGCAGCCCCGGAAGCGGCCGCGAUCGGAAGCUUUCGGUCCCGGAGCCGGAGCCCUCGCCGGAGCCCGGGCUCCGAGCGCAGCCCCGGGACUCAGAGCCCAGCCCCGGGGGUCGCCGAGCCCGGGCCUCCGGCGCGCGCCCCUCCGCCCCUGCCGCUCGCUUUGCGGACACCUUGGUUUCUAGCUCGGCUCGGGGAUGCUGGGGGCCCCUUCUCCGAGGACCCUGGAGCCGGGGGGGACCCCGGCGCCCCCGCUCUCCCUCUGCUGCGGAGGAGCCUUGCUGGCGAUCCUGAUGCUGCUCGCGCUGCCCACGGCCUGGGGACAGUGCAAGGCUCCAGAACAAUUCUCCUCUGCCAAGCCUACAACUCCAAUUGAUGAGUCUGAGUUUCCCAUCGGAACAUCUUUGAAGUAUGAAUGUCGCCCUGGGUUCAUACGGAGACAGUUCUUGAUCACCUGCCUCCCAAACUCCGAGUGGACAGAUGUUUCAGAUAAGUGUAUACGUAAACCAUGUAACACUCCUCCAGAUCCUCUGAAUGGCAGGGUGCAUGUACAAACAGAUACGCGGUUUGGAUCUACAAUCACUUACACCUGUAACCAAGGAUUCCGGCUCCUGGGACCUUCCUCUGCCCUAUGCAUCCUCUCAGGAAACACUGUGGUUUGGGAUAAUGAAGCGCCUGAUUGUGAGAGAAUUCUCUGUGAGCCUCCGCCAGCCAUUCCCAAUGGAGAGAUCCUGAGCAGCAGUGAAGAUUUCCAGUAUGGCAUGGUGGUGACCUAUCGCUGCACACCUGGACCGAGAGGGAAGAAGCAGUUUAACCUGGUGGGAGAGCCAUCCAUACACUGCACCAACGAUGCAGAUAAUAAUGGCAUGUGGAGUGGCCCACCCCCUCAGUGCAUCACAGUCAAUACCUGCACUCCUCCAAGUGUGAAAGACGCAGUCAUGGUGUCUGGCAACAGGAGCUUAUUUUCCUUACAUGAUACAGUACAGUUUCAAUGUCAGCUUGGCUUCGUCAUGAAAGGACCCACCAGUGUGCAGUGUGGGGCCCUGGGCAAAUGGGAGCCGGAAUUACCAAGCUGCUCUAGGGGAUGCCAGCCUCCUCCAGGAAUCCUGCAUGGCCAGUAUAGCCCAAGCGUGGACAUCUUUUCAGUAGGGCAGGAAGUACUCUACAGCUGUGACCCCGGCUAUGACCUCAGCGGGGCUGCGUCUCUGCAGUGCACACCCCAGGGAGACUGGAGCCCCGAAACCCCAACGUGUGCAGUGAAAUUAUGUGAUGACGUCACCAGCCAACUCCUUCAUGGUCAUGUGGAACUUCCACUAAGUCUACAAUUUGGGGCAAAAGUGACCUUCAGUUGUGAUGAAGGGUUCCGAUUAAAAGGCAACUCAGCUAGUUAUUGUGUCUUGGCUGGAAUAAAAACCCAGUGGAACAGCAGUGUUCCUGUAUGUGAACAAAUAUUUUGCCCAAACCCUCCAACUAUCCUUAAUGGAAGACACACAAGCACGCUUCUGGGAGAUAUUCCCUAUGGGCAAGAAGUGUCUUAUACUUGUGACCCUCACCCAGACAGAAGGAUGACCUUUAACCUCACGGGGGAGAGCACCAUCCGCUGCACCAAUGACAGUCAAGGGAAUGGGAUUUGGAGUGGUCCUCCCCCUCGCUGUGACCUUUUUGUUCCCUCUACUUGCCCACAUCCACCCACAAUCCAGAACGGGCACCACAUUGGUGACUACACAUCGUCAUAUCUUCCUGGGAUGAAAGUCAACUACAACUGUGACCCCGGCUACCUGUUGGUGGGAAGGGGCUUCAUUUUUUGUACACAUCAGAGAACCUGGAGCAAAUUUGAUCAUUAUUGCAAAGAAAUAAAAUGUAGCCUCCCACCAUUUAUGGAUGGAAUCCGGAAGGAGAUGGGAAUUAAAGAAGAAUAUCAUUAUCAGGAAAACAUAACUCUAGAGUGCCAACAUGGGUAUACAUUGGAAGGCAGCCCCUGGAGCCAAUGCCAAGCGGAUGGAUGGCACCCUCAAUUGGCUGUAUGUACAUCUAGCUCACGUACUACUCUCAUAAUUGGCAUCGUCUUAGGUAUGAUCUUCCUUAUCUUACUCAUCAUUGUGCUAUGUUGGGUAAUUCCCAGGUACAAAAAACGCAAUAUUACGCAUGGAAAGUCUAAAGAAGUGAAUAUCAAUCUAUACCCUCCAGAAAGCGACCAUGCCCAGCCCCAAAGUCUGCUAUCAAGUAAAGAAAACAGCAGUACUUCCUCUUUCUGACCCUGGUCUGCAUUCAUCUAAGCCUGGUCUUCUCUAGCUACACCCAUCAAGAAUCCUAAAUUUAACAAGGGAGCCCCAGGGAAAGCGGCCUUCCUUGACAACAUAUAAAGCCGGAGCAUACCUCAAUUACAUGUUGACUAGACAGGAGCCAAUUCAUUGCAACAGAAGAAGAUCUGGAUUCAUGAAGAUCUGAAGCUUCCCAGGCCUCCCUUCUCAGUCUGCCCUUCGGUCACUCCCUCAGGCUCUUCAUCCUCUUGUUGGAGGAUCAGAUCCUUAUUAAGCU